GCUGAAUGGAGAACUCUACCUUGUAAUAUGUGCAGGGAACAAUACAUACAUUUUGUGUCUAUGAGAAUAAAAAUAGCUAUGAUGGUGAUACUAUUUUAUAUCCAAGGCCUAAAGAUGCUACAUGUGAAUACACAGAAAAAUGUAGGUGAAAUAAAUGAAUGCCCACCUCUGCUAUGCAUUUUUACAUGAAUUAGGUAAGUAUGAAAAUAUGAAAACAGGAAUUUGCUCCUAUGAAAAGGAGCAAGGAACUUGCUUUUCCUGUGUCCUCUGCCUAAUGUAGUUUUCAGCCCAUUUAAUUCAGUGGAGACCAAGCACCUCCACAGAACCAGCCCAGCCCCUCUGUGACAUGGAGGCUGCAGCUCAAGCUGAGUUCUUUACAGAAUAUAACCCUGGGGUUAAUAUCCACAGAUUUCUUUACCUACAGACACCCAGCCUCUUACUUUCCACAUUCUAAAUCAAACAGAUCACCACAGGUGAGAUUAAUAACCAGGAGACUACCAUCUCAGUAACUCAGUAUGAUUAAACUUCUGACUGUGAGGGCUAUUUUAAGAGCAGGAAUCUCUAUUUAUCUGGACAGGCUGAUUCUAUAAAUAAUCUGCAAUUUCUGGAAAUGGCAAAUAUUGGAUUUAAUCAGUCUUUGAUAUUCUCUUUUUAGCUAACUGUAAGGUAAAAUUCACCCUUUCCAACAGUUUGUAAAUUUCCUUUACAUCCUCAUCCUGAGUUUCUAAUGACCCAGUCUUCCUCCCCAUAAAAGUGGGAGCACAUUCCUAAAUUUCUUCCUUUUUUUUUUUUUUUUUGUUUGUUUUGUUGUUUUUCUUCCAGAACCAGGAAUUGAACUCACAACCUUGCGCUUGCCAGGCAGACACUGUGCUGCUGAGCUAAAUCCCCAGCCCUCUAAAUUUCUUCCUGAUACAUGGCUUUUACCAUAGUACAUGAGGUCCAUAUCAUAUACUGUAUGUUUAGACUGUGGGGAAACUCUUAGUACAAUAUGAGGGCAUCAGGCAUGGAACCAUUGCACUUUUUUCAGUGAAUAUGAAGAUAUAUUUUUUCAGUUUGUGCUUAUAAUAUAUUUAUCAGGGUCCUUAAUUGCUGACACUUGGUUUAAGUGUAAUUCAUCCAAGAAAGAAUUGGAACAUGGAAAGAUAUAUUUGUAUUCCUACCAUCUAACAAGGAGGAAAGAAAAAGCAAAAAAGCUAAUUUCCUUUUGCAAUGUCAGAGUCCAAUGAAUUUAUUUGAAAAUCUUUUCUCUUUCAGUGUGUUUUGUUCAAACUCACCUGCCUGAAUUGCACCUAUGCUUAUUGGAUACACCAAUGAAGUAGUUUAUGAAGACUAACCAUCUGUGCCUUUUUCUUCCUCAAAUGCAUGAAACCAUAAUCCGUAUAUAUAAAUUCAUAAUCCAUGUGUACUUAUUAUACCUCUAUUUAGGUAGUGAUUUUUCCAGUGCAAUUAAACUAUGAGCUAAGGAGAUGUUUGCAAUUUUAGAUUGCAUCAUAAAUACUCAGGCCCUUAUAGCUAUACACCUGAGGAGAAAUUGGGCCUCGUUUGUAUUAUGAAACACCUUAAAAUAAAGCUGGAAGAGUAACACAAAGCCACAAAUCUUUUCCCCUAAUUUAUCCAAACAUACACUAUCAUAACUCAGCAAUAUGGAAGAGUUUUAUAUAUUCAAAAAUGUCCUAUGUGGUGAGAACUUACUUUCUAAAAUAACAAAACAAAAUAAAAAAGAAACUGAGUAGAUUUUAAGACAUUUGUAGCCUUUAUUACCUGAAGAUACAUUUGAUUUCUCAGUAUUCAAAUUCAGAAUCUAAUAGAUUUGGUUAGUGAAAAACACUUGUACUUUCAUAUUGGCUUUGUUGCCUCUUAAACUGGGUUGAUAUGGAAAUGAGCUGGGAAGAAUUAUUUGUGUUUCACAGGAUGUGUUUGUACUAAGUGCCAAGUUCUACAGCAAAGCUGCAAAUUCAGGUAGGGUAUUGCUGACCCUAACGAUUAACA
rnacentral:lncRNA from 1 species